rnacentral:tRNA from 1 species
GGCCCUAUCGUCUAGCGGCCUAGGACGCGAGCCUCUCACGCUCGAAACCGGAGUUCGAUUCUCCGUGGGGUCACCA